rnacentral:rRNA from 1 species
GNACAAUGGGCGCAAGCAUGAUCCAGCAAUGCCGCGUGUGUGAAGAAGGCAUGCGGGUUGUAAAGCUCUUUUAUCAGGGAAUAAUCGGCCAAGGUUCAUUCCCCAUGGCAAUUUCGGUACCUGAGGAAUAANCACCGGCUAACUCCGUGCCAGCAGCCACGGUAAUACGUAGGGUGCAAGCGUUAAUCGGAAUUACUGGGCGUAAAGCGUGCGCAGGCGGCUGAUUAAGUCGUAUGUGAAAGCCCCGGGCUUAACCUGGGAAUUCCAUUCAAUACUGGUCAGCUAGAGUNUGGUAGAGGUAAGCGGAAUUCCGGGUGUAGCGGUGAAAUGCGUAGAUAUCCGGAGGAACAUCAGUGGCGAAGGCGGCUUACUGGUCCANGACUGACGCUCAUGUUCGAAAGCNUGGGUAGCAACCAGCAUUAGAUACCCUGGUAGUCCACGCCCUCAUCGAUGUCAACUAGCCGUUGGGUCCCCUUAAUAGGACUUAGUGGCGAAGCUAACGCGUUAAGUUGACCGCCUGGGGAGUACG